rnacentral:rRNA from 1 species
UCGUUAACGAACGAGACCUCGACCUGCUAAAUAGUUCGGCGAAUCUUUCGGGAUUCGUACGCGCUUCUUAGAGGGACUAUCGGUGUGUAGCCGAUGGAAGUUCGAGGCAAUAACAGGUCUGUGAUGCCCUUAGAUGUUCUGGGCCGCACGCGCGCUACACUGAUACGUUCAUCGAGCUUACAACCUUGACUGAGAGGUCUGGGUAAUCUUUUGAAAUCGUAUCGUGCUGGGGAUAGAUUAUUGUAAUUUUUAAUCUUCAACGAGGAAACGCGAGUCAUCAGCUCGCAUUGAUUACGUCCCUGCCCUUUGUACACACCGCCCGUCGCUAAUACCGAUUGAAUGGGUU